UCGCCUCAGCAAAAAAGAACAACAUAUUUUAACUGACGUCCAAAUCGUCGUCCUUGCUGUCAAAGCGAUAACCACUUGAAAACACAACCUUGCCUUCCAAAUUCUCGUGUUCCGCCACAUUGAUCUACGCAAACGUAUGGACUCUUGUUUGACAACGAAAUCCAUAUAGCUGUCAUUU